rnacentral:misc_RNA from 1 species
GCGGUCGGCUCCCCUCAAAUGAAUCAGCCUCCCAGUGUUUGGUGGCAUCACGGGUGUGAUAAAUAUCUACGCUCGCGGUUGUCUGCCAGGUAACCUUUGGUUACAAAGGUUUGCUGGAGCUCACAGAUGUCUCUCCUCGGUGAGGACAGCUUUUUUGAACGUUCGAUCUCAAAUCAGGUAGGACUACCCGCUGAACUUAA